CCCCCCCCCGCGCUUCCGCUCCCCAAGGAACAGCCUGAGUUUCCCGGGACAGCGCCGGCCCCCGCGGGCCGCCCUUUUGGGCAGAGAAGCGGGUGUAGGGUCCCCUCUCCGCGGAGGGGGGCAGCUCGCAGGAUCCCUGCCUGGGACUCAUCGCGUCCCACAGUAGAGACAAACUUGACAGGGUACUUGAAAAAUUGAUGCAGCUUGAAGACUUCAGUACUAUCCAGAGGAUUCUGAUAACAUCCUAAACCAGGAGUGUGGAGUUUGUAUGGCCUGUGUCAUCACCAAAGGGCAUAAGCCAUCUCCCUGCAAGCUCGCAAAGUGCACUGAUGACAGUUGCUCCAAUGAAGGUGAAGUCAAUGGCACUAUGCCCAUUUUACACCAGCCUGAGGUUUAUAUUCUCAUCUGCGAUUUUACUUAAUUUCUCUGUGGAGAAGUCUUUAUGAUCUGCCAGUGUGACAAUUUAGUGCAACACUCCACAUGAAGUCAUAUAGCAAAGUUAUAAUAUGCUAGAAUUCACCAGAAGGAACAUAAGAUUUUUGUGUGGCUAGGACUAGUGAACUCCAGUUUAUUACAUUGGGGGGGGGGGGGGGGG